rnacentral:misc_RNA from 1 species
GAUGAAGAACGCAGCGAAAUGCGAUAAGUAAUGUGAAUUGCAGAAUUCAGUGAAUCAUCGAAUCUUUGAACGCACAUUGCGCCCGCCAGUAUUCUGGCGGGCAUGCCUGUCUGAGCGUCAUUUCAACCCUCAUGCCCCUAGGGCGUGGUGUUGGGGAUCGGCCAAAGCCCGCGAGGGACGGCCGGCCCCUAAAUCUAGUGGCGGACCCGUCGUGGCCUCCUCUGCGAAGUAGUGAUAUUCCGCAUCGGAGAGCGACGAGCCCCUGACGUUAAACCCCCAACUUUCCAAGGUUGACCUCAGAUCAGGUAGGAAUACCCGCUGAACUUAAGCAUAUCAAUAAGCGGAGGA